rnacentral:sRNA from 1 species
GAUGGGAUGGUGCAUCCUUACAAAGGGGACCGGGCCGAGUACUGCAAGGCAGCCAAUAAGAGGGUCAUGGAUGUGAUCAACUCAGCCAGGACCCGCCAGCAGAUGCUGCAUGCCCAGACCUUCCACAGCAACUCUCUUUUGACCCAGGAAGAUGCAGCAGCUGCUGGGGAUCGCAGACCAGCCCCUGACACCUGGAUUUAUCCGCUGAUUCAGAUGAAGCCCUUCGAGAUUCAAAUCGAUGAGAUUGUCACUGAGACCCUGUUGACUGAGGCAGAGCGCGGGGCAAAGGUCUACCUCACCACUGGCUACUUCAACCUGACCCAGGCCUACAUGGACCUGGUCUUGGGCACUCGGGCUGAGUACCAGAUCCUGCUGGCCUCACCAGAGGUGAAUGGCUUCUUUGGGGCCAAGGGGGUGGCCGGCGCCAUCCCAGCGGCCUAUGUGCACAUCGAGCGACAAUUCUACAGUGAGGUGUGCAGCCUGGGACAGCAGGAGCGGGUCCAGCUUCAGGAGUACUGGCGGAGGGGCUGGACGUUCCACGCCAAAGGCCUCUGGCUGUACCUGGCAGGGAGCAGCCUGCCCUGUCUCACGCUGAUUGGCUCUCCUAAUUUUGGGUACAGGUCAGUUCACCGGGACCUGGAGGCCCAGAUUGCGAUCGUGACGGAGAACCAGGCCCUGCAGCAGCAGCUUCACCAGGAGCAAGAGCAGCUCUACCUGAGGUCAGGUGUGGUGUCCUCUGCCACCUUCGAGCAGCCGAGUCGCCAGGUGAAGCUGUGGGUGAAGAUGGUGACUCCACUGAUCAAGAACUUCUUCUGAGGACAGACAGGUGCUGUCUCUAGCAUCACCUCUCAGCACGGUUUUCCCGAGAGUUCACAGGUGGGGCAGGUGGUGGUUCUGACUCAACCAGAGCUUCCAGAGGGCUCUUUGAUCCCUUUCUCAGUUAAACACAGAGCAGCAUCUUCAGGGGUAUGGCAGCUGUCCUCAAAGUUAGAAGCUGGAUGCUAAAUUAGGCAGUCUGUUCACUUUCCAUCUGGUACCCACUCCACUAAGUCCCAAGGCGCCUGUGCUGGGGUCGGCAGUGGCAGCCUGUCGUCCCCUUCUGCUCUCCCUUCCCGGGGGGUCCUGAAGAAGCCCUGGGGCAAGGGCUCAGGGAUGAGGGGGCAGAAAGGCAGAUUGAGCCCCUCCAAGCUGAGCACACUGGUGCAGGAGAUGUAGACGUGGGAGGAGGGGAGCACGUUUGCUCGUGAGAGUGGCUCUGGCUUGCUGCCCCGGCCGGCUGUAGCGCACAGGGUGGGGCGUCGGUGGAGGCAGACCGUGGGCUGCUGCCUGGACGCCUCGCUGACAUCCCUGUGCUGCGGUCACAGAGCUGCGUCCUUCUAGACUCUGGAAGUUGAGUAACAGGACCUGCUCUGCCCACCCAGGAGGGGCCUGCCGCUUCACCAGAGGCACCAGUGGGGUCUCCCAGUCACCUGAGGUACCCCUGGACUGUCUGUCUUGACGCCUAGAGGUCCGGGCAGGGGGUGGCUGCCAUUAAAGGUGGGGUCUUUGCUGAGUGACCUUUUGUGUCCUGGAUCCCUCAGGGCCUGGACUGCACUCCGGGUGGGGUCAGGCUCCCGAGGCCCCUGCUCUCUGGUUCUGGAUGUUGUGGGUAGUUGUGUUGCUUUGGAUGGUGGCUUGUGGGGAAGGGACGGUGAGGAGUCAAAGAUGAGCCAGGACCCAUGUGGCCGGCACAUGCGCUAGUGCCGGCAUCUCGUGUGUGCAGCGUGGGCUCCCUUAGUGCCUGGCACCUUAGUGCUCUGCUAAAUCUCAUUUUUUAAAAAUGUGUAGUUUAUCUUGCAGCUUUUCCUAGUUAUUUUAAUUACUUUUCAUUUUAUUUGAAUAGUAUGUGCAAAUGUAGAGAGUAAAACAAUACUGCGGCCAUUUCCUGCCCCGCCUUCCCCCAGGCAGCCACUCUUGGCUUGUUUCUUCUGAUGUGCACACGUGUCCGUAUUUCUAAAUAACGUGCAUAUCCUGCUGUCUUCCCCCAAAAUGUGUACUUAACCAAAACAGCACCAGUGUCACUCCUGAAACAAAAAUUAACAAGAAUGUCUUAGUAUCAUCAAAUACCUAAAUGGUGUUCACAAUUCCACUUGCCUUAAAAUUAAUUUUUUCGAUUAUUUGACUUGACUUGAAGUCCAAUUAAGGACUACACCUUGUGAUUGUUUUUUCCCUAGCAAUUUAUUUUUUGAAGAAUUAACUUUAUUUUUAUUGGAUCUACUUAAAACAUUUUUGUGUCACCUAGUAGCAGGGGAUUUUGAAUACACAUCAUGUGUGUUUAUAAAGCCAGCUCUCCAUAUCCCCCAAUGUCUCCAGGAGCCGCUUUUGUGGCCUCACUGCCUGAUCUCUUUAUCUUCCGGUGCUUGACCCUUGCACAGAGAGAAGCUUCCUGGGCUACAGGGCAUGGCAGCCUGUCCUUUCGGGGAGUGAGAGUAGAUUUAGUCCCUGCCCUUUGCCUCUCUAGAAGCAGCUUCUCGCCUUUCCCUCCCGAGGGCUGGCAGCAGUCACUAUCACACUUCAUGGGGUCUGAAAGGUUGUAUGGGCUCACCUGGUCUUAGACAAGGACAGCUGCAGCUUCCGCACCAGGCAGACCUGCAGUUUGAGUGGCUGGGGAUAGGUGGAGCGGCCUGGCCACAGUGCCCUGGACAGCAGCACAUCAGUUAAAACACUGUUUGUUUGCCUUCCAACAACUAGUUAUUACGGUGUCCUGUGGGACAAUUAGACUGGAGGAGCCAAAGGAAUGUGCAGGGGCACUGGGUUUCUGUUUGGAGAGAGGCUCUCGGUAAACAGAGUUCGCAUUCCUCCAGAUUCUGUGGGACCAGAGUAAACAUCAUUGUGCCACAGCCAGGCUUAAGCAAUCUAUCUAUGUGCAGUGCCGUUCCCGCAGCGCACACUGCUCCCUCUGUCUCUGCUGAUGGCCUUCGAGGCUGUCCUAGGCAGGUUCUCCCUGGGGAGCUCCCCACACCAAGCCUCCCUAACUCUGCAAAGCAGCCGGAGCAGCGGGC